CGGCAACGUUGAAACUCAAAGGAAUUGACGGGGGCCCGCACAAGCGGAGGAACAUGUGGUUAAUUCGAUGAUACGCGAGGAACCUUACCCGGGCUCAAACGGGGAGUGCCGCAGGCAGAGACGCCUGUUUCCCACGGGACACUCCCCGAGGUGCUGCAUGGUUGUCGUCAGCUCGUGCCGUGAGGUGUCGGCUUAAGUGCCAUAACGAGCGCAACCCCCGCGUGCAGUUGCUAACAGAUAACGCUGAGGACUCUGCACGGACUGCCGGCGCAAGCCGCGAGGAAGGCGGGGAUGACGUCAAAUCAGCACGGCCCUUACGUCCGGGGCGACACACGUGUUACAAUGGGUGGUACAGCGGGAAGCCAGGCGGCGACGCCGAGCGGAACCCGAAAUCCACUCUCAGUUCGGAUCGGAGUCUGCAACCCGACUCCGUGAAGCUGGAUUCGCUAGUAAUCGCGCAUCAGCCAUGGCGCGGUGAAUACGUUCCCGGGCCUUGUACACACCGCCCGUCAAGCCAUGGGAGCCGAGGGCGCUUGAAGUGCGUCGCCGCGAGGCGCGCCCUAGAGCGAAAUCGGUGACUGGGGCUAAGUCGUAACAAGGUAGCCGU
rnacentral:rRNA from 1 species